GACGAACGCUGGCGGCGUGCUUAACACAUGCAAGUCGAACGGACAGGCCCUGCUUUUGUGGGUUGCUCGAUUGGCGCACGCGUGAGUGACACGUGAGUAACCUGUCCUUGUCUUUGGGAUAUAUUUACGAAAAUGGGGCUAAUACCCGAUAGGAGCUCUUGCUGCAUGGUGGGCGAUGGUAAGUUUCGGCGGUUGGGGAUGGUCUCGCGGCUUAUCAGCUUGUUGGUGGGGUAGUGGCUUACCAGGGCUUUGAGGGGUAGCCGGCCUGGGAGGGUGACCGGCGACAGUGGGACUGCGAGAGGGCCCAGACGCCAACGGGAGGCAACAGUGGGGAAUAUUGCACAAUGGGGGGAAGCCUGAUGCAGCAACGCCGCGUGCGGGAUGACGGCCUUCGGGUUGUAAACCACUUUCGCCUGUGACGAAGCGUGAGUGACGGUAAUGGGUAAAGAAGCACCGGCUAACUACGUG
rnacentral:rRNA from 1 species